rnacentral:rRNA from 1 species
UACGUAGGGGGCAAGCGUUGUCCGGAUUUAUUGGGCGUAAAGAGCGUGUAGGCGGCCAGGUAGGUCGGUUGUGAAACUGGAGGCUCAACCUUCAGAGGUCGACCGAAACCAUCUGGCUAGAGUCCGGGAGAGGAGAGUGGAAUUCCUGGUGUAGCGGUGAAAUGCGCAGAUAUCAGGAAGAACACCCGUGGCGAAAGCGGCUCUCUGGAACGGUACUGACGCUGAGACGCGAAAGCGUGGGGAGCGAACAGG